UCACAAAUUAUAGAUAAACUAUGUAAUUAAUUUAGAUUGAUGUGACGAGAAAUCUUGACUUUUUUUUAUUUUAGGUGUAACUAAACAAGACCUCACUCCACUUGGCCAUGGAUGUGGAAGAAGCUUCACUCGCUUUAGCUCACUUUCCUCUCCGCUUUGCAGGUUGCAGGGUAAGGGUAAACACUUUUAUUGUUAGCAGCUGGUCAUCAGAGGAGGGAAAUGCUUCUUAGGCCUUGUUUAGAUACACUCAAAAACCCAAAACUUUACAAGAUUCUUCGUCACAUUGAAUCUUGCGGCACAUGCAUGAAGUAUUAAAUAUAGUUAAAAAGAAUAACUAAUUGCACAGUUUACCUGUAAAUCACGAGACGAAUCUUUUAAGCCUAGUUACUCUAUAAUUAGACAAUGUUUGUCAAAUAAAGACGAAAAUGCUACAGUAUCAAAAUCCAAAAACUUUUUGCAUCUAAACAAGGCCUUACUCCUACUGUCCUACAGUAUUUUUACAACGACCUUGCAUUGCCUGCCUAGCUGCGCUGGCUAUAGCUGCUUGCUUUCCCAAAGGUGUGCUCAUUUUUCGGUGCGCGUGUUGUAGUAGAAUAUUGGGAUAGGAUUCACCCCAUGAUAGAAGAGAAAGGGGCGGCGCUGCUGCUUCGUAUCAUGCCGCUAUCAUUGGAGAGAACGUAUACAUACACUAGCUUGUUGGUUGUUACUGUUACCAAGCAGGGUUUGGUGUAAUUCCUCAUCGAUCUCACAUGCACGUCGGAAAGCGAAUACUGCAUUAAUUACAUAUCUUUCAAUUUGUCCAUAUAUAGCUUGUUUUUUUCUCCAACAUAUUGCAGAGCCGAAUACUAGCUACUACUGGUGUGGUGCCUGUUGUAUGUAUGAUCAGUAUAUGCAUGUGUUAAUCUACUUUGUUUUCCUUUUUUUUCCAACAAAAAAUAAGCAACGAUGAGUAGUGAAAAGGAGAAUAUAUAUAUGCCUGUGAGCCAGUGACAAACGCUGCAGAAAGCGAAGACAUGAACUAGUGGAGGCUCAGCAGGCAAAGGCCAUGUCACUUUGCAGCAAUCAAGCAAGAGAAGGAUGUUCAUAUAUAUGCAUGCUCCCACACAAACACCGAUGCUGCAGCGCGUGUCACCGUGGCGCGCAUGUACGUAUGCAGGGAUAUAUUCUGCUUGUUCAGAGAGCAAGCAUGCAUGCUCUCUGUCUCAUGACACAUGAAAGAAGACCAAUUAAUAAUAGAUCAAUGGACAUCUGAAUUCCGAAAAGCAGCCGUACGUGAGUUUGUAGAAGAGCUGACGAGGCAUUCUGCAGCAUCACUACCAUCAAUUGCUGGACCAAAUAUCACAGCGAGAUGCACUCCACUAUAGAGUCAUAAGUUCUCUCACCGGAACUACAAUUGAGUACGAUUGUUUUUGCCAACGGAGCUGUAGCUUAGUGGUUUUACAGGGCAUUUAGUCAUCUAGUAUCAUCAGGUUAAUUAUGGAGAGAUAGAGAGAAUUUAUCUGAAAACUCAAUGUCACAGUAACCAACAUAAGAGCUUAUGUGACAUUAUUGGUAACAACAUCAUAAAACUCAUCACUAAGCACUGUUUGCUAAACGGCCAUUUAGACCGUUUAAACGCCACGUAAACGCUGCACACAGUGGUACACCAUUUCCGUUUAAUCAUCCGUUUAGCCCGUUUAAUAGACUGCAGGUGACCGACUGUUUAGCGUUUAGAAAAAUCAUUGUCACUAAGACUAACACCGCCCCUUGACUCCUCUCGCCACCGCCAUCAUCAUUUAGGGCCCUUCUCCUUCUUCCUCUUUGAUAAGUCUGUGGAUGGCAAGAAAGAGAAGAUACUCAUAUCACCUUUAUAAUAAAUUUUUAAUUAGUUUUUUUAGGGUUUAGUCCAAAUAAAUUAUCAGUGAAAUCAAAUAUUUUUUUGGUUGGGAUCAUGUUACCGGCGAUAACUUCGAUGAUUGUCAUGAUGAAGCCACCAUUGUAGGCGUUAAUUUCACCACCAUAAAGGUCAAUUUUUUCCAUUAUAUGCCUGAUGUGCUCGUAGGCACUCCCCACGAGGAUACUAACUCUGGGUCAUAAAUCUCAUCGUUAAUGGUUGAGGAGAGAAAACUAAACAUACAAGAGAAAUCAAGGGUGGGAGGUGACGAAUCUCCAACCUAUGUUGUAUCAGAGGAUGCGACAACUGAUAUCUUUUCAUCAUUUCAAAUGCAUUUUAAUUAAAUGAGUUUUGGAACAUUGGUUCUUGCCACGUGUCCAAUGUUUUAAGUUGUUCAUUAGAUUUAAUAUGAGAACUAUAUUUUGGCUUCUAUGUUCGACAAAACUUUGUUCCGCAUCGAGAAAAAGUCACUAGGAAAGAAGUUGAUAGAAGAAUUUAGAUAGAAUAUUAUACCUUUUAUAUUUUUGAUUUUUAUGUGCAACUUAGGGAUAUACUCUUUUAUGUGCAAUUUAGAUAGGUAUGUACUAUGUCGAAUUAAUAUAACCUAUUCCCUUGGCAAAAGAGUAGAUUUUACAUGUGUGAUAUAUAUAGCACGGAAAGGCUACACGUUGUUUCAUUUCAAGAAGAGAUAUGGAUCCUAGGAUUCUACAGCAGCGUCGCCGGCCGGCUCGACCCUCACAACUCACGAGCACCGCACAGACACAUGUGCGGCACCAGUAUGCAUGAGACGGGCGAGGAGUCGUCCCCGUCAUCUGCCGAUCGAUGGCGAAAUGUCUAAUUAAGCUUCGUUAGCGGCGAGCCCUUCCUAGGAAGACUUUGUUUGGUGGCUCGUGCGUGCCUUGUGGCCUUUGUGCCCGUGUGCUCGAUCGCGAAACGCCCCGCGCGGUAGUGCUGCUGGCGCACCUGCGUGUUUGCCCAGUGGCCAGUUUGUGUGUACCAGAAUGAUGGCCGCUUUCGGAAGGGACGACGGCCGGCGUCGGCGAGGAGUCAAGAAACCCAGCUGCUUUUUUUUCGGCAAAAGGACCCCUGCUCGGAAUUGACGGAAUAUAUAUGUGUACUUCCUGUCCGGCCAGGGGAACGUUUCUCUUUCUUUUGCCAGAAUAUAUGCAUUGGUUUCGUGUCGGCAGACAUGCAUGCGCAUACGAUGCGAGAGCAAUAGGAUUCCUUAUUGUCCUCACGACGAGUCACGAGUUCUCACUUGGAGUCAACAAAAUCGUCUCUCUUUUCAUGAGCUGUUUAUAAGCAGUGUAGGUCCAUUUGUUUUUAGACGGAUGAAGUAUAAACUUAUGAUAUACAGUAAUUGCAUCAACUAAGGAUAUGCAUCCAUCAUAUCCAUAUACAACUAUUAAACACUACAAAUAUAUAUCCAGCUAAAGUGGUCUGCAUAAAUAGCGUUCUUUUAUUUAUUAGUUUAAAUAGUUGUGUUUAUUUGUUUGUUUGUUUAAGAUUGUCAUGUCUGCGUUUAAGCAGAGCCACUGGUUGAUUCAUCAUGGCACCAACACACAUUCAUACUAUGCCUUCUCAAAUACAGUAAGUUGUAGAACAUUUGACGCGGAUUCCGGUUACAUAUACCAGUCACUACUGGAAACUACAUUAUCCCUGUGUGCCAAAAAACCAUCAAGGAAAUGGAAAAAACCGUCAAAAUAAUUAAUUCUGUCGGUAGACCGACAGGCAUAUCCCGUCAAGGAUAGAUUGACAGAGAAAUGAUAUUUGCCUGUGAGCCACCCGACAGAAAUAUUUUUCUGACGGUAUUUCCUUGACGGAUGCCUGACAGAACAAAUGUAGCGACCGGAGGUGCGGCACGUUGUCAGCAACCGUCAGGUUAAUUGAUUUCCCUGUAGGCUUACUAUCAGGGAUAUUGUUAAUUUCUUUAUGGGUUUUAGUAUCUUUUCUGUCAGUCGACUCUCAAGGAAAUAAAGAAAAUUCUGUGGGAUGGGAAGUUAUUCCCUAUCGGUUUUCCAUCAAUGAAAUAUUUAGUUUCUAUUAGUUCAACCAAAUUUUCUUGAUGGUUUCCCCUCAAGGAAAUCGCAACUGGAUUUUUCCUAUAUUACAGGAAAAUAUCACAAUUACAUGUUUUGUUCCAAAUACACCAAACAAUAAAUUAUAAGCACAGAACAAUAAUCAUUCAUAUAUAUUAGAAGUUCCAUAAAAGCUUACAAAGUAUUCAACAUGGGCCAACAUAACAAAGGUUCUGCCCUCACAAAUUACACCUCACUAAGUUCUACUACUAGCACCAUAUGCUGCUACUAAUUUAUACAUGUACAGCCAUGUCACCUACCACAACAUCCUAGUUUUAGCCAAGUCCAUCUAACAUUCAGUUACUACUAAGUUACCAUCCACAGCCAUACAUGUUCAGAAGACAAAAGACAGCCACCAACUUAUGUUGUUCAGUGGACAAAAGUCACUUUGACAACCCAUGUGCUAUUUCUCCCAAUAGCAACCUUACCAUAUGUAUCCCAAAUCACAGAAAUCAUCGAUGUUUGAUCCAGCAUUGCUGGCCCCAUUGUUGUCGUCGAUGUCCUCUUCAUCCCUGUCCUCUUCAUCCCCUUCGUCCUCCUCAUACAUCUCUUCAUUCAUGUCCUCAUCCUUGUCCUCUCCUUCCAUGUAGCUACCAUCCAUGUCCUCUUCGUCCUCUCCAUCCAUGUCCUCACCAUCCAAGUCCAACAAAGAGAAAUAGGGCACUAUGCAUAAAAAUAGGGCACUAUGCAUAAGUAUGAAAUCUAUGGCCGACCAUACAUGAUCCGAUGAGUAUGAAAUAUAUACUAUAGUUCAAGCAUAGAAUAAUUAGUCCACCAUAAAAAUUCACCACAAUUGGACAACAGAAGGUGCAGCUAUGAAUUAUUCCAAUUAAUUACAGAUAAAAUAUAUUUUUUCUAACUAAUUUAAAGCUAUAGAAAAAAUUUGUACUAAAGUAUACCUUCCCUCCUCUAUGGCCGGCACGAGCUCCCUCUCCGUCGAGGUCUUCUCCAAAGAGCGCAUGGCACCGACGUCUCCAUACCAUGCCGGCAGCCACACGGUGAGUCCCAAUCUGACCUCUAAUUUUGGAUUAUGGAACCCUAGAGCCGUUCGAUUUUGAUUGAGUCCUGCUGGUGCAAGGGCUUUUCUGUCCUGUAUGUGCGCAAGGAACAGAUGGAUAUUGCUAUCAGUUCCUAGGCCAACAUACGCCUCGCCUACGAACCUUGCUCCCUGCUCUACCUGCCCACCAUCUGUUCAGUCAAAAGCCUCAACUCAAAGCUUUUGUUUUUUUUCAUAGGAUCUUCUUUAAUUGGGUUCAAAAGCUAGCUUAUCUCACUUUUUAUUCUGUGUAUCCGUCUCUAGACGGAGUUGAUGGAUUUUCGCUUGUUUUAUGAGGGAUCUUUAUGUUUAGGAUUCAAAUUAGAGGGUGGUUUUGAGUCCCUGUCUGUUGCUGGUUAUUAUCUCUGGAGGCAGCAUGAUCUAAUUUUGGACCUUUGUAUAUGGACCAUCAGAGUUGUGUGUUUGUGGUCGAGGAAACCGUGGUGCAGGAGCCAGUGACGGAUGCACCGUUGGUUCAUGGAGAUAGAUAAAGGUGAGAUGGUUCUAUACUUCUAUAUCUCAUGAUUGUGUUUUUUAUAAUGCUCUGUUGAUUUUGUGUGGGAUUGUUUCUUAUUUCUAAGCACACUGUAGUUAGUGUCAAAGAAAUUUGUAUUGGGGAAAUAUGGUCACGAGUUUUACUGGUUAAGCCUUUGUAAUAACUUUGGUUUCCUAUGAGUAUCUUCUUGCAUGCAGCAUGCAAUUUUUAGUCUUCAGAUUUUUCAAGGAUGGGAUUUUCAGUAUCCCGCAGACUUGUUUGAUUUCAUCAUAUUAUUUUAUCAUCAGCCUAGAACUUUAUGACAUGUUUAAUGUCUGCUUGUUCUUUCUAUUUCUCUAUCUGGUGAAUUGCUUCACAAAAUCUCAAUAUAACUGUUAAGCAUGCUCCAAAAAGAUUUGAUCUGAAAGAGCAUCUAGGCCCCUAGUGGUUUCGGUGAUUAAUGACAUUGUUGAUUACUAUGACUAACGUGUGUUUUGCAGAGGCAAAGUCAUAGGUAAGGUCAUGGUAAAUAGGUACUCGAUGGACAGGGACGUACAUGCCAACUUAAUAGUGGAAAUCGUUUCGGUUUUCAAAGGAUGGAUGGACAUCGUCAAGACUAGACUAGGUCUAAGUGCCAUAUGGUGAAGAAGGGCACUUAGAGUAGUUUAGGACUUUGUUUUUCCUUUGACCGUACUAUUAAGAGGAGCUUUGAUCUAGUAGCUUGACUUAGGCAAGGCUUUAGGUUUAGGUGUGGUGCACACUUGGUAAACCUAGCACUAGGCAGCUCAGAGAUAGUCCUUAGAUCGAGAGGAACAAACUUCGUGUUGGAGCGAUCGCGUUUCGACGAAGUUUGGGUGCCCAAAGGGGCACCGGACGCUCUGUGAGUGCGUCCGGUGAGGUCCUUAGCCGUUGGAACAGGCCAGUGCUUAGGGUUAGGCAUCGGACGCUAGCACCGGACGCACCGGGUAGCGUCCGGUCCCUUACCCAGGGAGCUUGCAACGUUUCCCUGAGCACCGGACGCUAGCACCGGACGCACCGGGUAGCGUCCGGUCCCAUGCACAGGGAGCUUGUAAAGUUUCCCCGAGCACCGGACGGUGCACCGGACGCUGCGAGCUAGCGUCCGGUGACCUGUCAGAGGAGGUACAGGUAGCCGUUAUGUCACACCGGACGCUCGGUGCAGUGCGUCCGGUGACCCCGUUUUCAGUGGAAAACGGUUGGCCGACCUUUGGACUUUGUGGAUAGUAUUUAUACUCCUCCACCUCGUCCAUGAGAUCUCUCUUGCCCAUUUGAACAUCAGAGAAACUUGUUUGUGGAGCAAGAGAGUUGCAAGAGCCUAGAGAGGAUUGAGAUUUGAGUGUUUUCUUGAGAGAAUCCUCCUCUAGUGAGUUUCAAGAGUCAAGUGUGCAUCCACCACUCUCUAGUGCCUUGUUUGGGUCAAGUGAGAGUUCUUUGCUUGUUACUCUUGGUGAUCGCCAUCACCUAGACGGUUCGGUGGUGAUUGGAGGCACGAAGACCACCCGGAGUUCUUGUGGGUGGCUCGUGUCAAGCUUGUGAGCGGUUUUGGGCGAUUCACCGCGACGGAGUGUCGAAGAAUCAGCCCGUAGAGAGCACUUGGUCCUUGCGCGGACCAAGGGGGAGCAAGACCCUUGCGCGGGUGCUCCAACGAGGACUAGUGGAGAGUGGCGACUCUCCGAUACCUCGGCAAAACAUCGCUGAGCAUUUUCUUUCACUACUUCUUUACUUUCUAGCAUUUACUUUGUGCUUUUACAUUCUUAGAAUUGCCAUGCUAGAAUAGGAUUGGAACUAGGUUGCAAAACUUUUAUCCGGUAGCUCUCUAAGUCACACUAGGCACAAGGGGUUGAAUUGGAGCUUAUAGGUUGCUUAAAUUUUUAGAGAAGCCCAAUUCACCCCCCCUCUUAGAGAAUAGGAUUGGAACUAGGUUGCAAAACGCUAUCACCUAGUGAUGAACAAGCUUAAUACAUUUGAAAUGCUUCCUAAAGAAAAUGCUAAUGAAAUGUAUUCUCGAUUGAAUGUCAUUGUAGAGGAGCUAAAUGGACUUGGGCUUACACAAAUGAGUACGGCGGAUGUAGCAAGGAAGAUACUAUGUGUGCUUCCCAUUGAGAAAUAAGGGCACAUAGUAACCGUGCUUCAUCAAGGCGAUCUUUCCACCGCUACACCAACCACCAUAUUGGGAAAGAUCAAUGCUCAUGAGAUGUACAUGCAUAUGAACCCUCAAGAUGGCUCCUCGUUGGCCAAGAAAGAAAAGAAGGACUUGGCUCUCAAAGCUUCUCACAAGGGCAAAGCCAAGAAGAUUGAAGUUGAGUCAUCAACUUCAAGUGAUGAUGAUGCAUCUAUUGCCCUCUUGGUGAGAAGAACCACAAAGAUGUUGAAGAAGCUCAACAAGAAUGGAGUCAACUUUGACUCCAAGAAGAAGAAGUUCUUCACAAGUAGCAAGAGGAAGCCCAUCUCCGAGAUGGAUUGCUACAAUUGUGGUGAGCUUGGUCAUCUUGCUCAUCAAUGUCCAAAGCCCAAGAAGGACAAGUACAAGAAGAAGAACAAAGAGCAAGAUGACUCAAGUGAUGAUGAGAAGAAUGACAAGAAGCAAUACAAGAAGAAAGGUGGCAAGAAGAAGGAGCACUACAAGAAGAAAAAUGGCAAGGCUUAUAUUGUUGGUGAUUGGCUCACCGACAUUGAAAGCUCAAGUGGUGACUCAUUCGGCAAUGAGAGUGAUGAUGAGAAGGUUGCCGCCAUUGCCAUUGAUGCUCCAUCACCAUCAUCUUUACCACCAUCUACAUCCUCUACACACCUAUGCCUUAUGGCUAAGGGUGACCGGAAGGUACAAAGUGAGGAUGAGAGUAGUGAGAGUGAUAGUGAAUAUGAAUCACCUUCUUAUGAUGAACUUGUAAAAUUACUAAACAAGUACACUAAAGUCAUAAGAAAAUCUAGAUGUGAAAAUGAAAAGCUUGAACUUGAAAAUGAAACACUUCUAGCAAAGCUUAAGUCUAGUGAUGAGCUUAGAGAUCAAAAUGAAAUCAUGACCACUAAGCUCAAGGAGCUCAAACUCUCUCUAAAAGAGCUCAAAGAAAAACAUGAUAAACUUGAGAGUGUUCAUGAUGAGCUUAUCACUAGAUAUAGAGCAAUGAAAGAAGAGCUAACAACUCUAAAAGCAAACUAUGACAACCUUGAGAUCGCUUAUGAACUUGCAAUUGAUGAAAAACAUGUUGCUACUAACAAUGUUGCUAAGCUUGAUGUAGCCACAUCUUGUGAUGACUUACUUGUGGAGAGCACAAGCAAAUGUGUUGAUUGCAAGGGCAAGAAAGUGGUAGUGGCCGAGAGUUAUGAGGACACUAUCAAGCUCAAGGAUGAAAUUGUCAUGCUCAAAAAAGAGUUGCAAGAACAAGCCAAGCACAAGGCAAGUGUGAUUGAGUCACUUGAUCAAGACAAGAAGCUUGCAUAUGAGAACAAGUUACUCAAGGAAGAAAAUCAAUAUCUCAAGCUUGGUUUGAUGUAUGACAAGCAAGAAGAAGAUGAGACAUUCAUCUUGGAUGAGUUAGCUAGCAACAAUGACCCAAUCAUCAAGAAGCUAACUCAAGAGAACAACAAGCUCAAGAAAGAGAAGGAACAUCUAACCAUGGGGUUAGCAAAGUUCACAAGGGGGAAGGACCUUCAAAGUGAGCUUUUCAUGAACACCGUCAUGAAGAUGGACAAGAGUGGGAUUGGCUAUAAAGCUCAUCAAACAAAGCUCAUCAAGUCUCUAGCCACUCAUGAUCAAGCAAGCAAGCCAAAGCCAAAAAGAUGUUUUGAGUGUGGUCAAGAAGGACACUUUGCUCAUGAGUGUAAGGCACCACUACCACCAUCCUUGCCCAAGCAUGCAAGACCAUUUGCCUUCAAUGCUCAUUACAUUGUAAGAAAAGACAAGUGUGGCAAGGUCAAGGUUAGCUUCAUGGGGCCACCAAACAAGCAAAGGCCAAAGAAGAUUUGGGUGCCAAAGCAACUAGUAGAGAAGGUCAAGGGCCCUAAACAAAUGUGGGUCCCUAAAUCUCAAGCUUGAUCUCUUGUGUGUAGGUGAACUACAAGACCGGUGGAUCACACUGGGUAAUUGAUAGUGGUUGCACUCAACAUAUGACCGGAGAUCCCCGGAUGUUCACCUCUCUUGAUGAAGAUGUUGAUAACCAAGAGAAGAUCACAUUUGGUGACAAUUCAAAAGGGAAAGUCAAGGGACUAGGAAAGGUUGCUAUUUCAAAUGACAACUCCAUCACCAAUGUGCUCUAUGUGCAAUCUUUGAGUUUCAACUUGCUCUCGGUUGGACAACUUUGUGAUCUUGGAUUUGAAUGCUUAUUCAAGAAGAAGGAAGUAAUUGUGACCAAAGAAGAUGACAAUGAAGUAAUUUUCAAAGGCUUCCGGCACAACAACUUAUAUGUAGUUGAUUUCUCAUCAAAUGAAGUUGAUGUCAAGACUUGCUUAUUCACCAAGACUUCACUUGGGUGGUUGUGGCAUAGAAGGUUAGCGCAUGUUGGAAUGGGCACACUCAAGAAGUUGAUGAAGAAAGAAUUGAUUAGAGGCUUAAAGGAUGUGACAUUUGAAAAGGACAAGCUAUGUAGUGCAUGUCAAGCGGGCAAACAAGUUGCAAACACUCAUCCAACCAAAGCCUAUCUCUCUACUUCAAGAGUGCUUGAGCUACUUCACAUGGAUUUGUUUGGACCAACCACAUAUGCUAGUCUUGGAGGAAACAAAUAUUGUUUGGUCAUAGUUGAUGAUUUCUCCCGGUACACUUGGACAUUCUUCUUGCAAGACAAGGCCGAAGUUGCAUCAAUAUUCAAGAAGUUUGCAAAGAAUGCCCAAAAUCAAUUUGAUGUGAAGAUCAAGAAAAUUAGAAGUGACAAUGGCAAAGAGUUUGACAACACCAACAUUGAAGAGUAUUGUGACGAAGUGGGAAUCAAGCAUGAGUUCUCCUCAACAUAUACACCACAACAAAAUGGGGUUGUAGAAAGAAAGAACCGGACAUUGAUUACCUUGGCAAGAACAAUGCUAGAUGAGUACAACACUUCGGAGAAGAUGUGGGCCGAGGCAAUCAACACCGCAUGCUAUGCUUCAAACCGGCUCUUUCCUCACAAGUUCCUAGAGAAGACACCAUAUGAGUUGCUCAAUGGGAAGAAGCCCGAUGUCUCAUUCUUUAGAGUGUUUGGGUGCAAGUGCUACAUCUACAAGAAGCGCCAACACUUGGGAAAGUUCCAAAGGAGAUGUGACAUUGGCUACUUGGUUGGCUAUUCAUCAAAGUCCAAAGCAUAUAGGGUCUUUAACCAUGCCACAAACAUGGUUGAAGAAACAUUUGAUGUUGAUUUGAUGAAACUAAUGGCUCCCAAGGAGCAAGUGAUAAUCUUGAUGAUGUAGGUGGUGAACCAUUGAGGGAUGCCAUGAAGAACAUGCCGGUGGGAGACAUCAAGCCUAAAGAAGAUGAUGAUGAUAUGCAAGUCAUUGAGCCACCAUCCACCUCACAAGGUCCACAAGAUGAAGACAAGGAUGUGAGAGAUGCUCAUGAAGACACUCAAGUCACUCAUGAGCAAGCGGUGGCACAAGCACAGGAUGUUGAUGCUCCCCAACCAACCCCUCAAGUGGCACCAAGAAGAACAUCACAUCUCCUCCAAGAUCACUCUCAAGAUCUUAUCAUCGGGAGUCCAUCACGUGGUGUAACUACUCGUUCUAGACAUGCUUUAUUUAUUGAACAUCACGCUUUUGUGUCUCUUGAAGAUGAACCAAAGACUAUAGAGGAAGCUCUUCGUGAUGUGGAUUGGAUCAUGGCCAUGCAAGAGGAGUUGAAUAACUUCACUCGCAACCAAGUAUGGACACUUGAAGAGCGACCCAAAGAUGCAAGAGUGAUUGGAACAAAGUGGGUCUUCCGGAACAAGAAGGAUGAUCAAGGCAAAGUGGUGCGCAACAAGGCAAGACUUGUGGCAAAAGGCUUUUCACAAGUGGAAGGUCUUGACUUCGGUGAAACCUUUGCGCCGGUGGCAAGACUUGAAGCAAUCCGUAUCCUACUUGCAUAUGCAUCAAGUCAUGAUAUCAAACUAUUUCAAAUGGAUGUGAAAAGUGCCUUUUUAAAUGGUUAUAUUAAUGAGCUUGUCUAUGUUGAGCAACCCCCCGGUUUUGAAGACCCUAGGUACCCCAAGCAUGUCUACCGGUUGUCCAAGGCACUCUAUGGUCUCAAGCAAGCUCCUAGAGCUUGGUAUGAGAGGCUUAGGGACUUCCUCAUUGAGAAGGGUUUCAAGAUUGGGAAAGUUGACACAACACUCUUCACCAAGAAAAUGAAUGGGGAAAUCUUCAUUUGCCAAGUUUAUGUUGAUGAUAUUAUUUUUGGCUCUACUAAUGAAGAUUUUUGCAAGGAAUUUGGUGAUUUGAUGUCCAAGGAGUUUGAGAUGUCCAUGAUUGGCGAGCUAUCCUUCUUCCUAGGAUUUCAAGUCAAGCAAAUGAAGGAAGGAGUCUUUAUCUCACAAGAGAAGUACACUCAAGAUCUUCUCAAGAGGUUCAAGAUGAUGGAUUGCAAGCCAAUCAAGACUCCCAUGGCAUCAAAUGGGCAUCUUGACUUGGAUGAGGGAGGUAACCCUAUUGACAAGACUCUCUAUCGCUCCAUGAUAGGAAGUCUACUAUACCUCACCGCAUCUAGGCCCGAUAUAAUGUUUAGUGUGUGUAUGUGUGCAAGAUAUCAAGCAAUGCCUAUGGAAUCUCACUUGAUUGCGGUCAAGAGAAUUCUUAGGUAUCUAAAAUACACACCUUGCCUAGGCUUGUGGUAUCCCAAAUGUGCAAGAUUCCAACUUGUAGGCUAUUCCGAUUCGGAUUAUGCCGGGUGCCGGAUUGAUAGAAAAAGCACAUCCGGAGGGUGCCACUUCCUAGGUAGAUCUCUUGUCUCUUGGAUGUCAAAGAAACAAAAUAGUGUUGCUUUGUCAACGGCCGAGGCGGAAUACAUUGCCGCCGGUGCUUGUUGUGCACAAAUACUUUACAUGAAACAAACUUUGCUAGACUAUGGAGUAGUACUAGACAAAGUACCUUUGUUGUGUGACAACGAAAGUGCCGUAAAACUUGCAAACAACCCGGUUCAACACACCCGCACAAAACAUAUUGACAUCCGCCACCACUUUCUUAGGGAUCACGUUGCUAAAGGUGACAUAUCCCUAGAGAAUGUGGGAACGGAAAAUCAAUUGGCGGAUAUCUUCACAAAACCCCUAGAUGAAGCUAGGUUUUGUAUGUUGAGAAAUGAACUUAAUGUGCUUGACUUGUCUAACUUUACUAAAAGAUAAAAGUUGUGUGUUGAAACUUCUAAAUAACUUUUGCUUUGCAUAUCAUGCAUGCUAAAACUAAAAAUACAACUUGUUUGUAGGGCUUGUCUAACAUGGUUAAGAUAACCCCCUUGAGUGUGUGAAAAAGCUUAACCUUGGAUCAAACUUGACAAGCAUUAGUUUACUUUCAAGUUUUGCAUUACAACUCAUUUCAUAUGCACGCUUGUUGGUUGACCGUUUCUUUUCGGUUACUCUUUGAGCAUCCGCUGUGUUCGUCCAUAGAUAGGGGGAGCAUUCAAAGCUCAUUAUGAUUUAAACCCCUAGCUUUAUGGCCAUACGAUGCUCCUUGGUGAUUUUCUCGAACUAUUUUCACAAAAAUCUACUAAGCCUAUGGCUAAUUAUUUGUGAAAACUUGAGGGUUUGAGAGAGGUCACUCAUACCAGUUCCAUUUGGUAUUUAUUUGUGUGCUUUUGAAGAUGGAACUUGGUUGGGUCAAAGUCGGACGUAGUGCUUAGUUGAAAAAGUGCUCAGAGGAGCACCGGACGGUGCACCGGACGCUACCUCUGAGCGUCCGGUGCGGUGAGUGUGCCAGACUGCACUCACCGGACGCAGGAACAGUAUCCCUGUAGCGUCCGGUGCGGUGCGUCCGGUGCUCACCUGGCGUGACCUGAAGCACCGGACGCUAAAGCCAGCGUCCGGUGCCCAUCGUCCGGUGCAAUGCCAAAACGCAAACCUCUCUGCGCAUGAGUCCGGUGGUCACCGGACGCGUCCGGUGACCCCGCGGCGGGCGCAUAAAGCCCGCGCCCAGGGGCUUCGCGCGGCCGAUUCUUUUCUUUUCCGCCGCCGUCGACCGAGCCUCCCCGUGCCCUAAGUCGCCGGAACUCGCCGCCGCCGACAUUGUCCUUGUCUCCGGCGUCCUCGAACCUCGCCCUCGCGCCAGAUCCGCCCAAAAUCUUUCUUCUGCCCUUCCCUUCGAGUGGAUCUGCGAAUCUCGAAGAGAUUCAAGGGUUUGGGUAAGAUCCUUGAUCUUUGCCCUUAAGGUGAUUGUCUUAAUGUCUCAACGGAUUAGAAAAAGGGUUUUUGACUCCGAUCUUCUUCGUUAACCCAGUGCAGCACCUUAAAGAGGAGGUUCGCGUUCUCCGGCAGUUUCCGAUCGUGAUAUCUCUUCCGGAUUGCGUCUCGUCUGUCGAUCGUAAGCCGUUCGCGUCCAUAUCUUAUCUUUUCUCGUGAUCCAUAGGCUUAUCUCAUCUCUAGUCGAUACGAUUGCUUAAAUAGACCUUAUCUUGUCAAUUCUCUGCAGUACAUUGUUCUCCCUUGCCGGUCAGUUGCUUGUCGGAUGCUUGAUUUACUAUGGCUCGUAGAACGUCAGUGGACCGACAGCCGGCUCAGGAGGUUCCCCAGGAGGCGAUGGUGGAGGUGAUCCUCCUCGUCGUUUCUCAGCGGCAGAGAAAGGCAAGGGAAAGAAGCUGGCCACCAAGAAGCGCAAGGCCAGUGACAGAGAUGCAGAGGUCGCAGAGGCAGUAGCAGCAGCAGCAGAGGCCGCAGAGAGAUGUGGCAGAGCAGGUGCCUUGAGGAUUGGGGAUGAUCUUACGCCACGUCAGAGGCGUGCAGUGCUUGAGGCAGAGGCUUUUCAUGGAUCUCCUCCAGGCACCGUGACGAUUGGAGGACAGAGGGUCAGGCUCGUGGUUAGAGAUCCAGCUUAGGAGGGUCCGGACACUGAGACUGAGACCCAGGCAGAGGUUCCAGCAGAGGGACAGGAGCAGGAGCCGCCACUGAGGAGGUCGACUCGUGCUCGUACUCAGGCCACUCCCCGGACUGGUACGCAGGGUCAGUCCACUUCCACAGCUCGUGCCACACCAGCGAGAGGUACACUAGCUUCACGCCCGAGGCCAGUCAGGAUCCACAGGGAUCUUUCUCUUGUGUCAGCCAGAGAGAUCCAGCAGCUGAGGUUCGUUCCGUUUCCCACCUGGUUUCCAGCUGCCAGGGAUCCUAGAGCCGAUGCCAGGUUCUACACAGUCAUCCAGGAGGACAUCUAUGAGGCACUGGUUCGCUCUCAGGCUCAGUUCAGGGAGCAUAGAGUGAUCGACCUGGAGAUACUGGGGAACGUGGUUGGAGCUGAUAUUCGCCAGUACUCUACCUACCUCCACGGACUUCUAGAGUUACUAGCACUCCCCAGGACUUACUGUGAGCAGUGGGUCAGAGAGUUCUACGCGUCAGUGUGGGUUUCUCCAGAUCACAGCUAUAUCCACUACGCACUGGCGGGGACAGACUAUAGAGUGACAGCUCAGAGGGCCAGAGAGGUGCUUGGACUGCGAGCCUCUCCCACCAGGAUUCACCAGCUGUGCUACGGGAACGUGGAUCCCCCUCGUCGUCCUCACGGUGGUGAGAUCCCACCAGUUGACUUCGUGGCUCCCUGUUUCCGUGCACCUUUUGGGGAGGGCUGCAGCAGGACAAUGGCAGACUUAACUCGCCCAGCCAGGAUCCUCGACUUUGUGUUGAGGAAGACUCUUCUCCCCAGGACAGGCUACAGAGACGGAUUCACUCGUAUACAGCAGUGGCUCGUCGCUCACCUUAUCUCCCAGACAGAGUUUGACUUGUGGGAUCUGAUCGUCUCAGAGAUAGAGGACACCAUCUCAGAGAGCUUCAGGGGCCGGCGUCAGUUGCCCUACGCACAUUGGAUCACCCUGCUUAUACUUCGUGCUAGGCCACUGCCCCUGCCAGCUCACUUGCAGAGGGAGUUGACAGAGUCAGACACCGUCUUCCCCCACUACGACCCCCGGUAGAUGUUGAGAGUGCACCACGACCUUCGCGGUGCACCUCCUCCUCGUGCUCCACGUGGACCGGUGCCCCCACCUUCUCCUAGGGGCACCCGCAGUACAACAGCCGUUGCAGAGACAGAGGAGCAGCAUGAUAUCACUAUUGGGGCGUUCGCUGAUGCAGAGGCAGAGGGCGAGUUUGACUUCGCUUCAGACAGUUCAGACGAUGACUAUCAGCCGCCAGUGACUGACCUUCCUCCCAGAGCUCACGACCACGAGGCAGGCGGUUCGUCGAGUGCUUCAGACCCCGCCCUGCGUGCUAUUCUAGAGGGGAUGAGGGCAGAUCAGCGCCGUGCAGCUGAGGAGCAGGCGAGGCGCGAUAGGGAUCAGGCUGCCAUUAAUGCAGCCAUGCAGGCCAGGCAAGAUGAGCUCCAGCGUCAGCUACUCACCUUUCAGGAGCAGCAGCUUGCUUUCCAGGCCCAGCAGACAGCGAUGAUGGCCGCUCUCAUGGCCGCCUCCGGGAUUCAGCUACCGCAGAUUCAGCUCCCAGGCACGUCGUCAGUCAGGCCUCCUACUCCUGCGCCCCAGACUCAGAGCCCGUCUCAGCAGCCGCUCCAGCUACCAGCUCAGAGUCAGCCGUUCUCGACGCCACAGCACCAGGUCUCUCAGGGUGCUAUCUCUUCAGACUUUGAGCAGGUACCGCGGUUUACCCCUCUCCGCUCAGGCUUCACCCCUCAGUCAGCUUCAGCGUCACAGCUUGUGUGGGACUCGCAGACAGAUCCGCACCUCAGCUUCACCUACAGUGCUCUGACUGGUGACCCUACGCCUCCUCCUCUGCAGGCUCCUGCAGUCUUUACGGCGCCAGUUACCACUACAGAGCUUCUGUCGUCGUCAGUAGCGUCGUCCGAGCAGCUUGCACCGUCUUCUACCAUUCCAGAGACGACAGCUACAGCGACCGAGUCCAUGCCAGCCUCGUCAGCCGAACUUGAGCAGCCAGCACAGCCUGUGACAGCGCCAGAGCAGACCCGGACCGCUUCUCCAGCACCUGCACCUUCAGAGGGUCACUCCACCUCCUCCACCUCGACGGCCGAUACUUCAGAUGAUGCAGCUCGCUUCGUGGCCGCACCGAGGGAUGCACCUCCUCCGCCUCCUCCACCGUCUUCUUAGGUUUUUGGCGCUUGAUGCCAAAGGGGGAGAGAGUGCGUAUGAGAGAGUUAGGGAGAGCUAGAGUUAGGGGGAGCUAGAGAGGGAGUUUAUUCUUUUGUUUGAGAUACUUUCUAUGUGUGCUAUCAUCAUGCAUCAUGUUUACCUUUAUGCAUUGCACUUGUGUGAGAUACUACUGGUUUAUGAGACAUGAUCUGUGCUUAAUAUGAUAUCUUUAUGUCAUGUGUUUUGGCUCAUACUACUUUUGCUUCCGCGUUGUACUUCGAUAUUCUUAUGAGCCUAGCGUUUAUAUCCUGUCGUAUAUCACUCACAUAUUUGGAUGCAGGGUAUUGGUUCUGGUUGAUAUAAGCAUGACUAAUCCUUUGUUCCUAUUGUAAUAUGCUUAUUGAAACCAAGUCACUUUAAAAACCUCAACUCUUUUCAUACUCGAGGUUGUCAUCAAUCACCAAAAAGGGGGAGAUUGAAAGAGCAUCUAGGCCCCUAGUGGUUUCGGUGAUUAAUGACAUUGUUGAUUACUAUGACUAACGUGUGUUUUGUAGAGGCAAAGUCAUAGGUAAGGUCAUGGUAAAUAGGUACUCGAUGGACAGGGACGUACAUGCCAACUUAAUAGUGGAAAUCAUUUCGGUUUUCAAAGGAUGGAUGGACAUCGUCAAGACUAGACUAGGUCUAAGUGCCAUAUGGUGAAGAAGGGCACUUAGAGUAGUUUAGGACUUUGUUUUUCCUUUGACCGUACUAUUAAGAGGAGCUUUGAUCUAGUACUUGACUUAGGCAAGGCUUUAGGUUUAGGUGUGGUGCACACUUGGUAAACCUAGCACUAGGCAGCUCAGAGAUAGUCCUUAGAUCGAGAGGAACAAACUUCGUGUUGGAGCGAUCGCGUUUCGACGAAGUUUGGGUGCCCAAAGGGGCACCGGACGCUGCACCGGACGCUCUGUGAGUGUGUCCGGUGAGGUCCUUAGCCGUUGGAACAGGCCAGUGCUUAGGGUUAGGCACCGGACGCUAGCACCGGACGCACCGGGUAGCGUCCGGUCCCUUACCCAGGGAGCUUGCAACGUUUCCCUGAGCACCGGACGCGAGCACCGGACGCACCGGGUAGCGUCCGGUCCCAUGCGCAGGGAGCUUGUAAAGUUUCCCCGAGCACCGGACGGUGCACCGGACGCUGCGAGCUAGCGUUCGGUGACCUGUCAGAGGAGGUACAGGUAGCCGUUAUGUCACACCGGACGCUCGGUGCAGUGCGUCCGGUGCAACAUAAUGUGCGUCCGGUGACCCCGUUUUCAGUGGAAAACGGUUGGCCGACCUUUGGACUUUGUGGAUAGUAUUUAUACUCCUCCACCUCGUCCAUGAGAUCUCUCUGGCCCAUUUGAACAUCAGAGAAACUUGUUUGUGGAGCAAGAGAGUUGCAAGAGCCUAGAGAGGAUUGAGAUUUGAGUGUUUUCUUGAGAGAAUCCUCCUCUAGUGAGUUUCAAGAGUCAAGUGUGCAUCCACCACUCUCUAGUGCCUUGUUUGGGUCAAGUGAGAGUUCUUUGCUUGUUACUCUUGGUGAUCGCCAUCACCUAGACGGUUCGGUGGUGAUUGGAGGCACGAAGACCACCCGGAGUUCUUGUGGGUGGCUCGUGUCAAGCUUGUGAGCGGUUUUGGGCGAUUCACCGCGACGGAGUGUCGAAGAAUCAGCCCGUAGAGAGCACUUGGUCCUUGCGCGGACCAAGGGGGAGCAAGACCCUUGCGCGGGUGCUCCAACGAGGACUAGUGGAGAGUGGCGACUCUCCGAUACCUCGGCAAAACAUCGUCGAGCAUUUUCUUUCACUACUUCUUUACUUUCUAGCAUUUACUUUGUGCUUUUACAUUCUUAGAAUUGCCAUGCUAGAAUAGGAUUGGAACUAGGUUGCAAAACUUUUAUCCGGUAGCUCUCUAAGUCACACUAGGCACAAGGGGUUGAAUUGGAGCUUAUAGGUUGCUUAAAUUUUUAGAGAAGCCCAAUUCACCCCCCCCUCUUGGACAUCUUGAUCCUUUCAUGAUCUUUUAAUUGUUUAACCUCUGAUUUAGCCUCUGAUAUAGGUAGGCCUUUUUACUUAACAAGGUAAGGCCUCUAAUUAUAUGUUAAAAUAACAUAAGUUAAUUUUUUGUAAAUAUCACUUGCAUAUGUGCCUGGUAGAUGCUCACUAUUCUGAACUUUGAAGAUGAAAAUGUCAAGCUGCAUACUAACAUUGAUCACAACUUCACAAGGACUCCACCAUAAUCCAGCUUAGUUAAUGCAAUAAUUUUGUGCCCUUAAUAUUGUGUUGGCAUCCUUCUUUUGACCUCACAAAUUUAGCUCCGCUAGCAUAAUCCAUCUUCUAGAAGGAUGUGUGCUUCCUUAAAAUUUGUCAGCUACUAGAAAUUUGAAGCUAAUUUACUUUUGCAGACUGUAUUAGUAGUAUUUUGUGUUUCAUCUGUAAUUUUGCCAAUUAGCUGAGAAAGUAAUUCUGAAAUAGUGAAGGAUGGAACUAGUCUAACUUUGUGCCUGCCUGUAAUGCACACUUUUUUCAGGAACUUCUAGCUGCUGCUAGCCAACAGCUUGUCAACAACAAUGUGUAGCCAAGCAAUCCAAUUAGAGUUUUUGACGAAGAUGGUUGCCACGGAUAGCAUCUACUAUGUUAAGCUAGGAUAACAUUGUGUUCAUUGUGUUCAUUAGCUAGGAUUAGCCAUGCUAUUGAUCAUCAGCUAUAUGUUCAAACAAGGACUAGUAUAAAUUUUGGUGUGUGGCUACUCCAAAUUUGUGUACAUGAUUUUAAUAUGGCAUCCAUCUUGAAUGUUUGAUCCAAUGUCUAUGAGUUCCAGAUAUAUAAGGUUUUAUUUUUUUAAUCCUAUUCAAUUGAUCUCAAUGGACUGUCAGUUGCUAAAAGUUCAUAUUGCAAUGAACUGUCUGUUGCUAAAUGUUCUAACAUGCCGUCCGUUGCUAAAAGCAGGGGCGAUGGACGGUCCGUCGCUAAAGAUGAAGUCUGUCGCUAUAUACAUACAACCACGGCUUCAACAGCAACUGCUGAGGUCCGUCGCUAUAACUUUUAGCCACAGACCGUCCAUCGUUAUACACCCCUUACGGCAACUUAAAAUCAGUCGCUGAUUAAGGGCGGUGGCGGUGGUGGGGUGCGUCGGCUGGGCGUGGAGACCCAGGCCGAGGCCGCACGGGAAAUAGAGGGCAGCAGGGGUGUCGACCAGGUGCUCCCACUCGGUGUCAGCAGCGGCGGCGGGAGCGCCGCACUCGGAGCGUCGUCGCCGCGAGGUGCUGUACCGCCUGGUGGAGCUGUCCGGGAUGGGGUACGCUGGAGGUAUGAUAGAGAGGGUCAUCGACGCCUGCCGCUGCAUGACCUUCCUCGGCAUCGGUGGCUUGCUGCUCGGGCUCGUCCUAUGGGUCCUCAAUGCCUUCAUCGAUUACUACGUGCAUGGCGGAAGGAAGCUCAUCCUCGUGCGUUGGCCAGAUGUUGAAGGAGAACCUUACAUGUGGGCCCUACACGCCAACGAGUGGAGGAAAAGAGACACAACAGGGGUAUUUUGGGACAUACGAGAAUACAGGAGCCUUCAAUCAUCUACACGUGGGCCCAAGACUUUCAUAUACGUAGAAAAUGGCACGAUUCAAACUGAAGAAGAAUUAUAAUGACAUGUUUCAAAAUAGACGAAUAGUAAUGAUAUUUUUCCAAACUUAUAGAAUUAUAAUGGUAUGAAUUCAAAAACCCUUAAAAAAACUGGGGCAAACCAAGACUAGGAAAAGAAGACGCUUCUGCCUCCUGCGUCCCUCCUCUUGCUCAGCAUCGGUGCGACGGCGCCUCCAGCCAGUGGCCUGCUCGCGUCCUCGCCCCUGGCCGCCCUGCCCAGGGCCAACCGCGUCCUCGCCCAGACGCGCUCACGGCUCACCCCUCGGCUACCGGCAGAGCUCGGACCUCGGAGGCCAGACCAGGAGUCCAGAGCCCCAGAUGCGUCCGCCCCUGCUCCUGUCCAGUCCGCCUGUCCCUGCGUGGGCGUGGUUGUGAAGGGGUGAAGCCGCCAGGGGCAGGGCCCCCUGUCCAGAUUCCGUUAGGCAUCGUUUGGGAGCACAGAAUCCCUCCGGGUUCCUGUAAAUUCCCAGAGAAAGAAAACCUCGAGGCAAGCUUCCCUGAGCUAAUCCACCACGCCCUUUGGAAGCCCACUGGACGCGGGAUUGCAGCCCAUAUCCCGUCGUUUUUCACGGGGCAGGAAGCCACGAGUCAUGUGGCCGGGAGCGCAUCCCUCUCCGUUGCGUCACGCAUCUGUCCCUCGCUGACUCUGCCUUGAGUGACUGCCCAAACAACAGCAGGGAACAAAGACCCUCGGAGGAAAGUGGGCACAGGGAAAUGAAUGUAAAAAAAAAAUCCACGUCAGAGGUUUUGCUCCCUGGGAUAGGUUCCACUAACUUCCAAAGUAGCCCUUAACGUGGUGAAGUAAAGGUAUGUAUUCCUUUAAUUUUCCAGUAGUUCAGUUCUUUUUUUUCUUGAUUUUAACUGUUAAUUGUGAAUUUUUGAUUCCAACUAUACGAAGAGGACAAGAACUAUUGUGUUGUAUUUCUCUCGAGUUGGUGAACAAUUGCAACAAAUCUUCACUAGACAAUAGGUAUUUAUUUUUUAAUGUUUGUUGAUAUUUCAUAGCUAUUGUACCGUACUAUUAAUUAUACAGUUAAAGAAUUUUUUUGGAUUUGUAAAUGUUUUUUAUAUAUAUGCCUAAAGACUAUAUUCUAGGUUGUAGCUUUUGGAUUUGGCCUAGUCUUGGCUAAUUCCUGGAUCCGCCACUGGGUUUAGGGGAACUAACUCUUUUUGCCACAGUAUGAUCCGUGAAGCCUACCCAGAUAUUCUGUACGGUAUAAUAACAUUGAGCAAUUAGCUAGAUGAAAAUGGCUCCAAGAGCAAUCAAAGUCAUAAAUUAUAGUCAAGCAGCAAGCAUCUCUAAGAGCUUGACCACAUCGUACAUGAAAAUGGCAAAGCCAGUGUACGUCUCUAAGAGCUUGGCGCCAAGAUCAACCCACCAUUCCCCAACUAGGCAGCUGGUAAAACAUAAUUCACAUAAUUUCAGUCAAGUAAAAGGUAAACAAAUCAAUUAGGGGGCAUUUAGUUUCCCAUAAAAGGCAAAAUGCAAAAUGUCGGAAUAAUAGAAUGCAAAAUACCAAAUUUUUCAGGGUUAUGUUUAGUUAUUAUAUCUAAAAUGUAGAAUUUAUUGCCCUCAUAAGGGCCUCUUGAGGACGCCAAAAUUUAAAACGGAGAAUAGUCACCUUUUUGUCAAAAUUUUUAUAUGGUGUUUAAUUUCAUUAUGCAAAAUAAUAAAUCAAAAUCCAAAAUUUUUGAUAUAGAAGGCGACUAAAACAUUCCAAUGUGUCAUCUGACUCGACGACCACUUCCUCCUUGCUCUGCGAGGCCUCUUCCAUCCCCUUAGGCCAGUCUCAAUGGGAAAUUUUAUGGCGUUGUUUUCAAGACUGCCAUGUCAUGUGAAAUGAAAUAAAACUUGGAUGAAACACCCACUCUCAAUGGAGAGUUUCAUUUUAUAGUUUCAUAGACAUUUAAUUCCAAGACUCAUAAUGAGUUGGUAAUCGCGCCAAGAGAGUUUCAUCUAGAUAAAACUCAUUUCUUCUCUCUUUUCUUAAAUACACCGCCAUGUCAUCAAAAAAGCCUAUGUGGCAACCUAUUUAAUGUAAGGCCCUGUUUGGCACGGCUUCUCCAGCGGCUUCAGGAGUCGUUUGGAGCCGUUUUGUGCCAAACGGGGUAAAAUAGAAUGGCUCCACCAAUGAAGCCCCUAAAAACGUGCUCUCACAGAGCUUUGGUGUGUGGAGCCAAAAAUAGUGGCUUCUUCCGGCUUCACCUCAUUCUAUGUGGUGUUUUGUGAGAGCACAUUUUAAGGAAAGAGCCGUUCUGCCAAACGGUUUACAAAAAUGGCUCCAUCUCCAUCGAUAGAGCUGUUCAUGGAGCUGAAGCCCCAAAAAACAGCUUCACUAGUGAAGUAGAGCCGUGCCAAACGGGGCCUAAAUGAAACUCACAUAAAACCCAUUGAAACUGGCUUUAUCCUAUUUUUGCAAGGGCUCCCCCACCUCCUGCUUCAACUUCGACACCGUCUCCUUCUGUGACGUCGAGGAGGCAGUCGCCUUCCCAUGUUCCGCUUGCACAAAAACGAUCGGGCGAUCGGGCUAUUCAGUUCAAUUUAUUCAAGGUUAUUUUAGGUCUUAUUUAGUUCACCCUAAAAAUCAAAAACUUUUUAAGAUUCUUCGUCAUAUCAAAUCUUGCAGCACAUGUAUGGAGUAUUAAAUAUAGAUGAAAAAAACUAAUUAUAUAAUUUACCUAUAAAUUACGAGAUAAAUCUUUUAAGUAUAGUUAGUCCAUAAGAUAACAAUGUUCAAAUAAAAACGAAAGCUACGUUAUAAAAAAAAAUUUCAGAACUAAACAAGACCUCAGUUGAAAUACGCUCUCGGGUCUGGGCCCAGUAGCCCAAUAUUUCUCCUCGGCCGCUAGUAAUUGCAUCGCUCUCCCUCCGGGUUCUCCCGCCGGGAACGAGAUCGUCUGCGGUUGCUAGUAUAUUUAUGCUACUAUGCUAGGAGUUGCAAUUUGCCAAGCGUUUGAUGCAUGCUAGUAUAUUUAUGCUACUAUGCUAGGAGUUGCAAUUUGCAAAUUUGUCUUCACAGAUCACUCACUCACUUUUAUGGUUUUGCUGAUGCUGCAAACAUUCACAUGAAUAUCUCCAGCACUAGCUGCAGUCUGCUCUUGCAGAUAGUGACCAUGCAAUUAUCGGUUUAUCUUACAAGAAAACAAAACAUUGUAUUGAGGUCUGUGAAACCAAAUAUCUGCGACCUUCUCCCUGAGAUCAUUGCCUUUACCAUCCUCGUCGGCGUUCUUAUUGGGCCGAGGCCCACCGCGAGCAGUUGUUUGAGGGCACGAGGGGUGUAGUCACCGUCUGAUCCAUUCGACGACGCAGAUCACAUGAUUGCAGAGGACAGUCAAGAGGAGCGACUUCAGAGGAUCUCGUUCCUCCCGUAGUCCCAUCGGCCGGUUUCUGCUUCUCCCUCCCAAUCCAAAAUCUCAACCAAACCCUACCGGGCUGCGGCGUGCCGGCGUGCGCAGGGCUAGGUGAGGACGCUGGGCGCGGGCGUCUCAAGGGCGCCACCUAGGCGGACCGCGGCAGGGCGCUGCGCCUGCGCUGGGCACGUGGGCGGCCCGUGGCGGGGCCGCAGCUAGCAGCGUGCGUAGGUGCCUGCGCCGCCGGGUGGCCGUUGGCCGGCUGCUCGAGAGCGACUGGACACCAACACCGGCAGCAGCACUUCUGCAACCUACACAGGCACAGAGACAGGAGAAUGUCUGGUCGAUGGGAGUCUUCAGCAAGCCAACAACUGUGAAUCCAAUUUGUAAGCUAGGAGUAUUGGUUAAUUGGCUUUCCAUUUCAAUGUAUUAUUGAUUGCAAUUUGUGAAUAUUUGUGAAACACUGGAACUAGGACAGUAAGGUAAUGUGCAUUACUUGAGUUUGAUUUACUGAUUUUAAUCAUUGGUUUGAUGUUAGGUCUCAAACAUAAAGGCUAAGAAGUGGUACUACUAGUUUUCAGCUCAAUUCUUUGAGUGUUUGCUCAAUUAUGUGUUGUGUCUGCAGUCUGCUAUAUAUUAUACAUUUUUACUAUAAUAUGGAGAAGUGGUACUACUAAUUUUUAGCUCAAUUCUAUGAAUGCGUGCUCAACUAUGUGGCAUAUCUGCUAUAUAUUAUACAUUUACUCUUAUGCUGAAUUAGACAUGCUAAAUAUUACCCUUUAGACUAUGUACAAAAAUUCCAAACAGCCCUUCACAUUUUGAAUUCCAACUUCAAAAUCCUAGGCCCACCCUACACACAAAUCCUCCGCCACUAUGGUGGCAGCGGUGUCGGUACCGAGCCAAGCACAGGCGAUGCUUCGGGGCCGGCUUUGUGACCCGGCCUUCGUCCACUCUGCCCUCAGGUCCUCCCCGGACACCAACUACAGGUGAGCUGAAUAGAUACCCGUUCUGCCCACAUGGCUCGACGGAAAUAAUUUUGCUAAUCCACCUCCUUUUGUGCUGGGCAGCAAGCUGAAGUACCUAGUCUCCAGCUCUGUCUCUGAGGCCUGCAAUAACUCCGUCCUCCUCCUUGGUCCCCGCGGGUGUGGAAAAGCAGCGGUGAGGUUCCUUCACUGGUUCAGUAUCCUUUUCUGCUUGCUGCAGUGCAGCAGUGCUGUUUGAUGAAAUGUGCAUGUCGGCAAUUGCACAUUUGCACUCUGCAAUGCAGUGUGGAACUGUAGUUUACUUUUUUGUUUGAGAGUUCAUGUUUUCGCAGGUGGUCGACAUGGUUCUUGAUGAUCUGAACAAGGAGCACCCUGAUGCGAUUUCCGUGGUAUGGGUGCAAUGCAGCAUUCUGUUCAGUUCAAGUAUCACUAGAAAUAGGUGCUAAUUAAUUAUGCAAAUGACAAAUGAUGACUCACUUAAACCUCAUAGACAAACUUCUGUUGUGCCACUGAUUGAUGUACCAUUUGCACUUAGCUACAACAACUCGGGCAUAAGUGAUGAUUAGCGCCCCCCCCCCCCCCCCCCCCCCCUCUCCCCCUCCCUCCCCAAUCCCAGUGAUACCAUUUCGACUUUUCAUGCCAUUAGAAAGACCUCUUUGAUCAAGGAUCUUUCGGGAAAGAAGAGGCUAGGAAUGGUGGAGGACAGAAUGCCCUUUCGGUACAAAUAUGUGGUUCUUAAGCAUCAUACUCAAAUGCAUUGUUACCAGAAUUAAAAAAAAAUGGUGUGUCCUAUUUUAAAUUGGUAAUCCUGUCGACUUUGUUAUUUGCACUUUGAAUGGAUAAUCGCGGCACACCUUUUCAGAUCAGACUAAAUGGGAUGCUACAUAGUGACGACAACUGUGCUAUGAAGGUUAGUAAUUUUGGAAGCUCUAACGCAUAUUUUAUUGUUGGUUUAAUUUCUGUCAACACACUCUUCCUGUUCUCCAACCUUGGCUUAUGCCUUUCCAAAUUCUAAGUCUUUUUCCUUAACAAAUUAAGUCCAUUGUGAACUUCUUUCUUGUGAAUAAGUCUGUAAGUCCCUAACAUGCUAAUAUUAAUAGUUUUUUUCCCUUUCUGUAGGAAAUUGCUAGGCAGCUUUGUUUGGAGCAUCAGUUAUCAUUUUCAAAAAUGGUACAUUUGCUGCUUAGUUAUUGUUCUCUCUAUUUUGUAGGAAAUUCCAUUGUAGACAUGCAACUCUGAUUGUUCUCUUUUAGGCUUCUUCAGAUGAUAACACUGAGUUCAUGAUUGACAUGUUACGGUGAGCUUUACUGAAAUAAUGCCAUAAUGGAUAUUUGUAUAUUGAGCCAUAGUCUUCAGUUCAUAAUUUUUUAAAGUAAUUUCUGUUCAUUUUUUAUAUUGUCUUCUGCAGAGAGUGUGGACUAGCUCACAAGACAAUACUAUUUGUUCUAGAAGAGUUUGACCUCUUUGCUCAGGUCGAGAUAAAUAGCUUCCCUUUAUGCUUUAACUAAACUGAGUUUGUCUCAUUCCCUUUUCAUCUAUGACAGCUGCUUAAAUUCCAUUAAAAUCAUUGUUCGUGGCACAUAUGGCUAAUGGCAUGACAUGCUUUCUACUAUUGCUAUGGUCAGUUUUGACAUGAGAAGAUUACUUAUGUUCAUGUGUUUUUGUUACAGGGUAAACAGAGGUUGCUUUACAGCUUACUUGAUGCAAUGCAGUCUCUAACAUCACAAGCCGUUGUCAUUGGUGUGAGUUGCCGCUUGGUAUGAACUUACUUAAUCAUGUGUACUUUUAUUUAUUGAUAAUAUAAACUUCAAGCCUGUCAGUUGUAUGUGAUUGAUUUCUUUUUUUUGUUGAUGCCAUUUGAUUAGUAUGUCACUCUUGAUUGGUCUUUCACAAAAAAAAAUGAUGUCACUCUUUGAUUAUGUAGUAGUGAUCAUGCAGUAGAAUUUAAAGUAGUCAUAAUGCAGUAGCAUCACUUACCUUUGAUUAAGUUGACUGGCAAUUUGGAAUGUGAAUGUGCAUAACAAUCACCAUUUUACUUUAAUUUGAAGCCACCCAUGGUGUUAUAAUAAUUGUUCAAGUAAUUAUAAACAUUGCUCAAAUAAUUAUAAUAUUCAGUGGCGUUUCAUUUUUUAGGAUGCAGAUCAACUCCUAGAGAAAAGGGUUAGAUCCAGAUUCUCUCAUAGGAAGCUUUUAUUUAUUUCUCCUUCACUGGAUGAUAUACAGCGGUAUGUGCUUUCCCCAGACCCUUUAGAUUAAAAACAUGAAAUGAUCCCAAAUUCCCUUAUCCGGCUUCUUUUGUUAUUAACUAACAAAAUGCAGGUUGGUGGAACAUUUGCUUAUACUGGCGAAAGACUCAGGCUUACCAGAAAAGUAUAUCACCGAUUAUAACUCAAGACUUACUGUAUCCUUUCUAAAACCUGACUGUUAUGGGGCAUUUUGUUUGACUCUUUUCCUUUAUCUCAUCUUAGUUGAAUACUUAGCUAUUAAUGGCAUAUAAUCUUGUUAAAUGAAACAAAAGUGUUUGCUUGCUGAAAUGAAACAUGGCAGAAUUUAGCCACUAACAGAAUGGAACUGUAUUGAUAUUUUUUCAAUUGUGGAGAAACAAAAGGGUGAACAAAUUAGGCAGCACAACUGCAAAAGGUUGCACAAUAGAUUUUUCUUAUCCUAUAUGCUGCAGAGCAUUUUUAGUGAUAAGAAAUUCAAAGGAUGUCUCAACUCUCUCAUGGAUGCUGAUGCAACAACAAGCAACAUUCUAAGAUUUCUGUAGGUUUUCAGCAGCUUGUUGGUUCUUUCAUCAUAAUAACAUCAAUAUAGGUUCUGCUGAAUAUUUACAAGCAAUUCUUUCAGUUUCAGAGCUGUGUCAUAUAUGGACAUGGAAUCUGGAUUCCUGCCAAUAGAAAGCUUCCUAAAGGCCCUUUCUUCCAUGCAGAGGCAACCCAAGAUGGACAGCCUACAAGGUAUAUUUUGUUGUCUAGCCCUUAUAGUUUUAUAGUGUGUUUGUUCACUAAAUGCAAAAGAUGUGGAUUUUCUCUGUGCACCUAUUCUCUUCGUUUCUCUUAUGCAUAGCACAAUAGAGACCAACAAUGAUUUGCUUGUUUUCACACAAACUUGCUCUUAUAUUUUUCGUUCUGUAUUAGAAAAUCACAUUGGAAUGUAGUGAUGACUGAUGACAUUUUAAUGCAAUGAAAACAUUGAAACAGACCUCUCGAUUUUGGAAUUGUACAUUCUUGUGUGCAUGCACAGACUAGAAGAUAAGGAGCAAAGCUCAUACAACUUCACCAGCAUAAUGAAAGGUAGAGACUGCUCUCUUCCCUCCCCUAGCCCCCUUGUUAUCAAGGACAAAAAAGUAAACUGAGGUGAACUGUCUCAGAAUACAGAUCCAUACAAGACGCCUAUAAGACUUCUGAUAAAUAUGCAAGCACUGUUUGUUUUAGGGUAAGCACUACCAGCAUCGACAAUCAGUGGGUCUUCUAUUGCAUUAGAUAUUCAAAACUUACACACUUGUUUGUCGCAGGCCUUCGAGCAUCUUUUGGAUAGAGAGCUGAUCAGUUUUGGUGACAACAGAGGGAGAAACCAGGCGCUUGAAUACCGACCUGUUAAGCUCCUUGUAUCCUCCCGCGAGCUCGCUCAGUCCCUCAAGCUGAACACCACCUGCCCUGUGAGUCACUCCAUGUGAUUGGACCUUAGCGAUUUUCUUCUAUUAUAUUACUGUCUGUCAUUGUUGUUCUGUAAUAUCAUUUCCAUAAUACGACUGUCACCGUGUUACAACUUCCCGCUAAUGGCAAUUGUUAUUUUGCUUUUGUAGGCUGUACUACAGAAGCUGUUUGAUCGUGAAAGAUACAUGUAGAACCUCUCCUCAGCUGGCCGCACUUCACUGACUUGGAGUUGCCGGCUUGCCGCUUUCUUGUUUCACUGGGCUAAUUCCGCUGUCAAGUUCAUGAAUGUGGACGCGUUGUCAGGUCGAUGCGUUGUUUUGUAAAACGGCGAUUGUAUUGGUAUCUGUCCACUGUUCGUUGGAGUUGGAAAAGGUGUGGGCCGUGUGGCCAACUGCCUAGCUCGGUUGCAUCGCAUGACUUGUGUGACCUGCAUGUCAGUCACUUGACCAGAGUCCAGAGGCCACAGGGAGUUAAAUAUUUAUUCAUUUGUUGUACUGAUUGUGGGCUAACGAUCUUGAUCUGCAUCUCGCACAAGUUUAGCAGCGUGGUGAAUGUGAUAUUUUUGGUAGCUUUGAGAUGCAUGCAUUAUUUGGAGUUUAACGCAAAUAAAUAAAAUAAAUUGAUUCAAAUAUAUAUAUGUUUGUGUUUAGGAAUUGUUUAGUUCACCCUAAAAUCUAAAAACUUUUUAAGAUUUUCUGUCACAUCAAAUUUUAUGUCACAUGCAUGGAGCACUAAAUAUAAAUAAAAAUAAUGACUAAUUGAACAAUUUCUCUGUAAUUUGUGAGAUGAAUCUUUUGAGCCUAGUUAGUUUAUGAUUGGACAAUAAUUGUUAAAUAUAAAUGAAAGUGUUAUAGAUGAAAGUGUUAUAGGACUAAAAUCCAAAGAGUUUUUGGAUCUAAACAAGACCUUAAUCUAAAACAAUAACAAAAUUGCUUAGCCAGACACCUUUAACGUGUCCGCAGGCCCUGGGGUAUUGUGUUCUUUGGCAUAUAGUCUCAUUUAUUAUAUUUUGUAGAUUCUAAAAAAAAUUAUUUUGUAUAUGUAGCGAGACGCUCUUGGAAUCUAAGUAGAACAGAGGCAAUUAGAGAGGUAGAAUAUGCAUAAAAAAUCUAUGUAUGUAAAAAGACUAAAACGCCUUAUGAUUUGGUCGUCUUAUGAUUUGGAAUGUAUAAGACUUUGGAACGAUGGAAGUUGCUACUUGGGCGGAGCAGAGACCUUUGCUAUCACUGUUGAUAACACACCCCCUCCCCCCCCACUUCAAUGAGACUUGAACUCGGGCGGGCAGGUUUCAGCAUAAGAAACCAACCAACUGAUCUAUGAUUAUUCUCCUUUGAGAAUAUGUUUGGCUUCCUACCAAAUUUAUAAUCAAGACAACUUUUAAAAAAAUCAAAUUGGUGUUUAUGAAGUUAGCCAACUUUGUUCAUAGGGAAUGGACUAAGAGAAGACCACCACCAAACUGUAUCUGCAGCAGAAAAAAAGUGCAGCCGAUCAUUUGAACUGUGGCCGUAAAAAAAAGCGAGUUCAUUUGCACUCUAGACAGUAGAAAUCAGCUGCAGCAUCUAAUUACUCGCUGCGGAGGCACAGCGAUCAGCGAAUAUGUGCUGCUGCGCAGCAGCAGUUCGGAUCAGACUGUCAGCAUGCAAGCAAAUCAUGGUCAAAAUUGUUCAAAGUUGGUCAAAAUUUUGCUUGACUAGCUUGGCACAACUACGUCAGCAAAUUCGCGACACGAGCCGGUGUUGGCCUCGGACACAAAACAGAACAUACUCGAGGCCAUAUACGCAAAAGUGUGCUACCAGGUCUACUGCUCGAACUAACCAGAAAGAUGGCGGCGGCGGCGGCGGGCGGCGGGCUCUCCGGCGACGUUCCGAUAUUCCACGCGGAAAACCUCGUCAGCAACGUCAAAUCAAUCAACUACAGGUUCGUAUCACCCUCGUCUCCUUUACAAAAUUUGGAUUACCUAAAUCUGAUGUAGUCAGUAGCUAGUAGGCAUGUCUAGGUUUCGUUUGAUCUCGAUUCAGAUUUGUGCGACGGAGACUCUCAUAUACGGCAAGUAUCUUGCUGGUUUAUGAUUAAACUCUAGUUCAUAAUAUAGAUUCACAGUGUAGGGUCGACAUUUUAGUUAUGUGUUGUUGAUUGACAGGCGAGGAUAAAAUAGUUUUGGCACUAGAAUUAUGGUUAGAGCUGCAGAAGAUGCUGAGUUUGGUACGGCGAGUGGAUAAGGAAGCAAUGAGACAGUGAAAUUAGGAUUUCGCAACCAAAUAUUCAAAGUACCAGCUCUUUCGAGUUAAUCACUGUAUAUGGGGGUCUGAACGUUCAGCGUUCUGUUGAAAAAUAAUUGAAGCUCUUUGUUUUGUGAUUGAGAGUUCGAACUUCACUUCAUUUAGAUUAUGCGAGUAACAGAUCCAAAGAAAGUUAAGCAAAUGCAGAGGAGUUGAAUAUUACCUUUUUUUUUGUUGAAUUUAGAAACAAAUCAAAGAAAUGAGCAGAUGAGAGAAGUUGAGUGGUAUCAUGUGUUCAUGUGCCUCAUACUCAUGUUCUAUACCAAUGACAUUCUAUUUUGAGCUCAUCCUCCAAACAUAUUUUUAAAACUUCAAAUGCAUAGUUGUCCAAUUUAUGUUGAAAGUUGUUACACUAAUUCCAGUAUCUAAUAAAUGGUUAGUGGACAUGUUGUAACUCCCUUAGCAGGCUAUGCUUGUCACCUAAAAGCUCUGAAAGUUUUCAUGUGAAGAUUUGCUUUUCUACUUCCUGGUCAACUAGAUACUGAAUUAACAUGUUUGUUACUAUCAAUCUUUUCAUAGCUGCAUCUGCCUUCUUGAUAUUUCAUUUAUAACGUUUUACCCUUUUACACCAAGCUGACUUAAGGACAUUUUCUGUGCCUUUCAGCCGGACAUUCUUGUCAAUCAUUAGUGGAGUUGUUGCUGGAAUAUGGGGGUUUACAGGCUUGAUGGGAUUUGUGUUCUACUUUCUUGUGAUGAUGGUUGCAUCUCUAAUGCUUCUGGUGAAGGCCAAAGUUUCGGUCCAUACAUACUUUGACAGUUGGAACAGGAUUAUAAUUGAAGGAGUUCUUGGGGGCCUGAUGGUAAGAAAUAUUGGUGCUGAGAAAAGCUAUUGAAAUUUAUUAUAGGAAAAUCAUAUGGCGCCCUUGUUAGCUAAUAAAGGACCAAAAUAUCAUGUUACAAUGUUUGAAAAAACAUCACAAAAAUCAUGUAUGUAGUACAUCUAAAGUUAAGUGUAGCGCAACAAUUCAGAUUGAAAUUCACCUUUGAUGCUGAGAUUAAAAAAAAACAGAAGUGUCACUGUCAACACAUGAUGAACAGUGCCAGGUUGAUUGCUUGUCUAUUUUGUUUCUUGGCAUCUAAGAUGAAUUUUAAACUGAACCGUUGCGGCUAUACUUAACUUUAUGUUUGCUACAUACAUGAUUUUUGUGAUGAUUUUUAAAACAUUGCAACAAGGUGAUUUUGCUAACGAUGGCGCCAGCCCCACUGGGAAUCAAAUCUGCACUCUUUAUUAUUUCCUUUAUCAUUCACCAGAAGUUCAAAACAUAGUGAUGUCAAAAUUAUGAAUUCUAUUGAACAAUUUCAUGUGUGAUAUCUUGAUCAACAUACUACUUUGUUGAAGAGGAUUGGAGCAAGUCUAGGAUAUAGUGAGCCAUAAAAUGUAGAGCAUUCUAUUACUUUUUCUACUGUAAUGACACUUGCUUUUAAGCUAGGGUAGUAUUCCGUUAGCAAGGGUUCACUUCCUUGUUAAAGGUACCCAAUAGGUUCCUCUUCUGGUGAUAUUUGCUCCCAUUCUUACUACUGAGUAUUUUUUUACAAUUACAUGUCUUUUUAUUUUAUAAUGUUCUCACAUUUUUUUUCCUUUCUAUUUUGCAGUCUUUCGUGUUGUUUUGGACGUAUCCUUGAUACUGUAAGACUUUAUUAUCGUUCUAACUUCUAAUAUAUGGCUCCAAUAUUUUUUUUUUUGCUAUGUUUGUGUUGAUAGGUUUCAUUCACUUAACACUUAGCAACAUAGUAUUGUGACUACCAAAUUCUUUAUAGCAGUGGCAUAUAGUAGUGUUGCGGGAUUAUUCUGUUGUAGGCGCUUCAUCUAAGGAUGUCUGAUGUGAUGCGUGUUGUAGACUUGUAUUUUGUUGCACCUAUUUUGUGUAAUGAUUCCCCUAGCUUUCUGUUGAAGUAGCCAUAUGUCAGCAUAUACCCUCGAGUUCAUCCUUAACAUGAUCAGAUUUGCCUAUGACAUUGUCCACAUCUUCUGAUGGAUGAAACAAGAGCUCUCAGAAGAACUGGGGAACCAUGUGAUCCCUCCUUGUAUGAGACAGAAUCAAUGUGUAAUUGCGCCUACUCUGCCAUCUGGGGACUAUGUUCAGUGGACAACCGUCCUCAAUUGGUUUGUUGCUGUAUACUAAACCUGAACUUUAGGAAGCUGAUAGCCUAUAAAUGAACUCAGGUUAGCAGAGUUCCAGACUCAUGUAACUCCACAGCUGUCAGCAAGCUCUGCAAAAUGGCCAUGCAGUAGAGCACGCAAUUUGUAAUAAAAUGGGCAUUAUGGUUGCCCAGGUUACUGACCAGAACAUAUGAAACAUAUAACCACUCCCUCCAU
rnacentral:lncRNA from 1 species